UUAUUAAACGAACAUUUGUGACUUGCAAUUUUGUGUACUUUAUUAUACAGCAUUUAUGAGCAGUAUAAAAGUUAAGUAUUCAUAUCUAUUUCAGCCAUAACCUAUAUAAGUAUUACAAUAUUUUCACUAGUGUUUUGUUUAAUCUCUAAGAAUGAAGAUCAUGCAAUUUUUCAUAAUUCGGAAAUCCGAAUACAAUAGAUAUACAUGUUUUCAAGUUACACGAAGUUACUUCCUUUGGCCAGUCUAUAUUUAUUUAUGUCUAUGUUUAAACACGUCAUUGAAGGAGAGUGUCAGUGUGCAGGGGGUUGCAAGCCCGCCUGUUGUAAACAUCUUUUUGGUCUUCUGUCUGCUCUAGAAGACUAUAGCAGAAAAGAAAUGUAUGCAGCACCAACAGACAAAAUUCAGACAUGGCAUCAACCCGCCUCAGAAAACGAAGGAUAGUUUUAGCUGUGAUAAGACUGGUCUACAAAAUUUUGAUACCAGUGUUUCAAUGUCUGCUUUGGCUGCCUUACCUCAGAACACUCCUAUAUUUUCAGUUUUACAA